AUUGAACGCUGGCGGCAGGCUUAACACAUGCAAGUCGAGCGAGCGGCGGACGGGUGAGUCAUGUCUGGGAAACUGCCUGAUGGAGGGGGAUAACUACUGGAAACGGUAGCUAAUACCGCAUACCAUCAGAUGUGCCCAGAUGGGUUUAGCUAGUUGGGGGGGUAAUGGCUCACCUAGGCGACGAUCCCUAUCUGGUCUGAGAGGAUUACCGGCCAUACUGGAACUGAGAAACGGUCAAGAUUCCUACGGGAGGCAGCAGUGGGGAAUAUUGCACAAUGGGCGCAAGCCGGAUGCAGCCAUGCCGCGUGUGUGAAGAAGGCCUUCGGGUUGUAAAGCACGUUCAGCGAGGAGGCGUUACUCGCAGAAGAAGCACCGGCCAACUCCGUGCCAGCAGCAGCGGUAAUUC
rnacentral:rRNA from 1 species